CGUUCCCAAACGCACUGGCCUGAUACUCCGUGAACACUGGACGCGCGACCGUGCUGGUCGCGUUCAGCAACAAGCUGCUUUCGUCCCCUGAGACCAGAGGGCUUCUCCCCAGGAAGUGGCGGGGGCAGCGCGCAGUGAGGGUGGGCGCGAGCCCCAAGCCCCAGGGCGCACCGCACGCGUUCCGGCUACAGACAAUGGCAGGACUUCGACGCGUACGUACAUGAUCUCAAAUUCAAGGGCAGGGCGGCGAUUCGGAGAAAACCAGCUCCUCACGGCCUCUCGGAGCCAGUCGGUGGCGUGUUUACCCGCAAGCCGCUCAUCCCCAGCCGCGACCCCCUCGCGCGCCUCCACCACUGCGCGGCCGACGCUGAGCGGGGUCGCGUAAGCCAGUCAGCCAGCUAGCGAGCGAACCGGGGGCCCCAGGGCUGGGGGCGUGUGAGCGCAGCCGAGUGCACCGUGCCAGUCAGGAAGUGCUGGGGAACCUCGCCGGCGGCCGCCGCCGCAGUGAGUCGCGAGAGCGCGGGGCAGAUCUGCAGCCCCGAGAGGAUUCAGCUGACCGCAGCCCGUGCUCCGCCGCGCCUCCCUGGCGGGGCAGCUGUCGCCUCCCACUGCUGCUGCUGUUGCUGCUGUUGCUGCUGCUCCUCCUCCUCCUGGCAAAGAGGGGGUAGGAAAAAAAACGGGCCUCCGCCCCCUCGGCCGGCUGGGCCCAGCACGUGCCGGCCACGGGAGUCCGGUGGACGUGGGGGACGCGCUGCCCGCUGAGGCCCUGGACCCGGGCGGUGGCGGCCGGAUACAAAGGAGCGGCCCGCGCGGGGCGCCGUGGAAUAUAAAUUAAUAAAUACAACGCCUGAGUCGGAGAGCUCCCAGCCGCCAAUCCGCCAGCAGCAAGUUUGCUCAACUCGAAAGGCUGUAACCAGAGCCAGGAAAGGGGGUGGGGCGAGGAGGCCCCCUCUCACUCCGGACUGGG